UAAAUUGUAGGGAAAUAUAAUACACAAAAAAAAAUGGCUCUAUACAAGAAAAAACCAAACGUACAUACAAUAUUGCAUAUGACUUCUAAACAUAUGUAUGCACAUAUAAUUAGAUUCAAAAUAAGGCAUAUUCAAGUAAAACAAAUAUAAAUAACGUUAACAUCCAUCUAUUAAACAAAAAACAAAAAUCAAUGACAAAGGAAUUUAAAUAAAACCGUUUUAUAUAUAUAUAUAUAACACAAAGGACAUCGUUUGGAAACUAUACAUAAUAAAACUAUCGGAUUGGUAUGAAAUCUUUUGCCCUCCAAUUUUGAUAUUUACAAGUAUUAAGAAGGAUUAGCUAAAUAGAUCCAAUGGCACUUGUCCAAUGGCACUUGUAGUACAUAAUGGACGGCAGAAGCACAACAAGGUAUUAAUUAUUAAGGACUUAAGCAUUUCACGUUCUUGAUAGGAGCUGCUUUAACAUAGAAGUCAGCUUCAUUACAACAAAGCCUAUCAAAUGCUAUAACUUACAUUAAUUUCUGAAAAAGUGAGUGACAUUAGAAAAUAAAAUCCAGGAGUCCGCAAUUCCGGUUCAGGAAAGUUAAAGCUUGGUUUUGAAUUUAAAUUUCGCGAUCGCUGGCUUAAGUGGAUAUUGAAUUAACAACUGAAAAUCCUAUAUGUACACAAUCAUUGAUUAAGUAUAUUUGUUCCCGUAAAAUGUAAAACUGGAUUUGAGGAGUGAAGUAAAUUAUAACCGCAUCAGUGAAAGAAAUCGAUUAUCAUAAGUUUGAAUCACUACCACUAAUUUGGAAAAUAUGAACAGAGUGGAAUUAGUUGGUGGGCUGUCUUAUUAUCCAAAUGAAGGACUAAAUUGUAACCAAUCAGGCACCACACUCAAUCGUCCUAUUACACAAUCAAUGAUUAAGUAUAUUUGUUCUCGUCAAAUGUAAAACUGGGUGUGAGAAGUGAAUAAACCUUUAUCGCAUCUGUGAAAGAAAUCAAGAAAUCGAUGAUCAUAAGUUUAAAUCACUACCACUAAUUUGGAAAAUAUGAACAGAGUGGAAUUAGUUGGUGGGCUGUCAUAUUCUCCAAAUGAAGGACCAAAUUGUAACCUAUCAGUCACCACACUCAAUCGUUCUAUUACACAAUCAAUGAUUAAGUAUAUUUGUUCCCGUAAAAUGUAAAACUGGGUGUGGGAAGUGAAUAAACCUUUAUCGUAUCUGUGAAAGAAAUCAAGAAAUCUAUGAUCAUAAGUUUGAAACACUACCAGUAAUUUGGAAAAUAUGAACAGAGUGGAAUUAGUUGGUGGGCUAUCAUAUUAUCCAAAUGAAGGACCAAUUUGUAAAUGAUCUUAUAAAAUGUAAAAGGGACUGUGAGGCGUGGAAUUCGUCUGGGUAGUGCCAUAUUAUCCGAAGGAAGGAUAUCAGUUUUAAACCUAUCAAUGGUUAAUAAACAAAGGUUAACAAUGAGAAGACUAGAGAUUUGGUUUUCCUAAAAUGUAUGUGGAAUU